UGGGGAAUAUUGCACAAUGGGCGCAAGCCUGAUGCAGCCAUGCCGCGUGUAUGAAGAAGGCCUUCGGGUUGUAAAGUACUUUCAGCGAGGAGGAAGGCGUUGUGGUUAGUAAACCGCACGAUUGACGUUACUCGCAGAAGAAGCACCGGCUAACUCCGUGCCAGCAGCCGCGGUAAUACGGAGGGUGCAAGCGUUAAUCGGAAUUACUGGGCGUAAAGCGCACGCAGGCGGUCUGUCAAGUCGGAUGUGAAAUCCCCCGGGCUCAACCUGGGAACUGCAUCCGAAACUGGCAGGCUAGAGUCUUGUAGAGGGGU
rnacentral:rRNA from 1 species